ACACCAUGAGAGUUGGAAAUACCCGAAGCCUGUGAGCUAACUUAAAGAGGCAGCAGUCGAAGGUAGAGCCAAUGAUUGGGGUGAAGUCGUAACAAGGUAUC
rnacentral:rRNA from 1 species